CGGAUCGAGGCCCGCUGGUUUGGGCGCUUAGCUGUUAAUUAAGUUUUUGUAGGAUCGAGGCCUGCCGGUUCAG
rnacentral:tRNA from 1 species